CCAGGCGUGAGUCUGACCAUGCACGAUGGCGGAAGCCUUGGUGACGGGCGCCUGCGGAGGAACGAUGGUAGCGAUGGCAGCUGCGGAAGGGCCGGCUUGCUUGACUCCGGGCCAGCGCAUCUCCAACUACUGGCCCCUGGAGCCCCAGGCGUUGGGCCUCAGCCCUGCCUGGCGGCUGACAGGCUUCUCCGGCAUGAAGGGCUGAGACUGCAAGGUCCCGCAGGAGACGCUGCUCAAACUACUGGCGGGACUGACGGGGCCGGACGUGCGGCCCCUACUGAGCAGGGGCCUGGUGGGCGGUCAGGAAGAGGUGUCCCAGGAAACCGGAGCGGGCCCCAGCCCCACUUUUCCAGCCCUGGGCAUCGGGAUGGACUCCUGCAUCGUUGCCCUGAGGCAUGGGGGCCUGUCGCUGGUGCAGACCACGGACUUCUUUUACCCCUUGGUGGAAGAUCCCCACGUGAUGGGGCACAUAGCUUGUGCCAACAUGCUGAGUGACCUCUAUGCCAUGGGCCUUACUGAGUGUGACAACAUGUUGAUGUUACUCAGUGUCAGCCAGAGUAUGAGUGAGGAGGAACACGAAAAGGUAACGCCACUCACGGUCAAAGGCUUUCGGGAUGCGGCUGAGGAAGGAGGGACUGCAGUGACUGGUGGGCAAACGGUGCUCAACCCUUGGAUUAUAAUCGGUGGAGUUGCUACUGUGGUAUGCCAGCCAAAUGAAUUCAUAAUGCCCGACAGCGUGAUGGUUGGGUAUGUGCUGGUUAAUGGGGAUGUGCUGGUGUUAACCAAACCGUUAGGAACCCAGGUUGCUGUCAAUGCCCACCAAUGGCUGAAUAAUCCUAAAAGAUGGAAUAAAGUAAAGAUGGUGGUCUCCGGAGAAGAGGUAGAGCUGGCCUAACAGGAAGCCAUGUUCAAUAUGGCUACCCUCAACAGAACUGCUGCAGGUUUAAUGCACACAUUUAAUGCCCAUGCGGCCACAGAUAUCACAAGCUUUGGCAUUCUAGAACACUCCCAGAAACCUUGCGAAACAACAAAGAAACAAAGUGUCCUUUGUUACUCAUAAUCUGCCAAUAAUUGCCAAGAUGGCUGCCGCCAACAAGGCCAGUGGACAGUUUGGGCUUCUUCAAGGAACCUCAGCUGAAACCUCUGGAGAUUACUAAUUUGUCUGCCUAGAGAACAGGCAGCUCACUUUUGUUCCGUAAUCAAAUCCUCCAAAUAUGGAGAGAGUCACCAAGCGUGGAUCACUGGCAUUGUGGAAAAGGGAAACGGAACGGCCCAGAUCAUUGACAGGCCGCGAGUUAUUGAACUCCUACCUCGUGGGGCCACAGCUGCUGCUCUUGCUCCUGACAAUUCAAAUGCCUCCUCUGAGCCUUGCUCGUGAGAUGAAAGAACAGAAGCUGUUUGGACCGUAGAGCUGUUGUACACAAUCAUGGCUGGUUCUCAAGAGUUGAUUUUAAGAAAUUUCCAAAGAAGGCUGCCUGCAUAGUGGUUCCAGCUGCCCUUUCUAGGUAACUGGAAUCAGCCCAUCAAAAGCAGCCUUUAUGUACAUUCCGAGGCCAGAGUAAUAUUUUGAACUUUGUGGGGGAUGUUUGUUCAUCACUUGGGUAGAGGAGGAGCAGAAAUAUCUGUUUUCUCUUUCCAAAGUGAGGCUAUUCCAGGUUGAGGGAUUUUUCUUUGCACUGGGUUAAUUUCUGUACAGGGAUUGAGUUGAUUUAUUAAAACCACACACACAAAUUGCAAAAUGAAAAAAUUUAGAUCAGAAGCAAAUGAGUUUUCGACCAAUACUGUUGAUAAAUCUAAAUUGUUGAGAGAUCUUAUAAUGCAACCUCAAAUUCUUUAUUAGACUUUACUGAGUACUGGCUCUUUCCUGCUCUGGACAAGAACUGAGCAGCUUGUCAUGACUGGAAAAGGAGGACCUGCAACCAUCUGGCUUGGUCUCUGUUAAUGACGUCUCUCCCUCUAAACCCCAUUAAGGACUGGGAGAGGCAGAGCAAGCCUCAGAGCCCAGGCCUAGGUGUACUUAUUAAGAUGUUAAGCUGUUUGCUGCAGAUU